rnacentral:tRNA from 1 species
CAAACUAUGCCUAGGGCUAAAUGUUAUUUACAUUAAUAUUACACUUGUGCGAGUCAAGUUAGUUUGA